rnacentral:rRNA from 1 species
GAUGAACGCUGACAGAAUGCUUAACACAUGCAAGUCAACUUGAACUUCGGUUUGGGUGGCGGACGGGUGAGUAACACGUAAAGAACUUGCCUCACAGAUAGGGACAACAUUUGGAAACGAAUGCUAAUACCUGAUAUUAUGAUUAUAUGGCAUCGUAUGAUUAUGAAAGCUAUAUGCGCUGUGAGAGAGCUUUGCGUCCCAUUAGCUAGUUGGAGAGGUAACGGCUCACCAAGGCGAUGAUGGGUAGCCGGCCUGAGAGGGUGAUCGGCCACAAGGGGACUGAGACACGGCCCUUACUCCUACGGGAGGCAGCAGUGGGGAAUAUUGGACAAUGGACCAAGAGUCUGAUCCAGCAAUUCUGUGUGCACGAUGAAGUUUUUCGGAAUGUAAAGUGCUUUCAGUUGGGAAGAAAAAAAUGACGGUACCAACAGAAGAAGUGACGGCUAAAUACGUGCCAGCAGCCGCGGUAAUACGUAUGUCACAAGCGUUAUCCGGAUUUAUUGGGCGUAAAGCGCGUCUAGGUGGUUAUGUAAGUCUGAUGUGAAAAUGCAGGGCUCAACUCUGUAUUGCGUUGGAAACUGUGUAACUAGAGUACUGGAGAGGUAAGCGGAACUACAAGUGUAGAGGUGAAAUUCGUAGAUAUUUGUAGGAAUGCCGAUGGGGAAGCCAGCUUACUGGACAGAUACUGACGCUGAAGCGCGAAAGCGUGGGUAGCAAACAGG